rnacentral:tRNA from 3 species
GAGUCAUUAGCUCAGUUGGUAGAGCAUCUGACUUUUAAUCAGAGGGUCGUAGGUUCGAGCCCUACAUGACUCA